rnacentral:rRNA from 1 species
GAUGAACGCUGGCGGCGUGCCUAAUACAUGCAAGUCGAGCGAACGGACGAGAAGCUUGCUUCUCUGAUGUUAGCGGCGGACGGGUGAGUAACACGUGGAUAACCUACCUAUAAGACUGGGAUAACUUCGGGAAACCGGAGCUAAUACCGGAUGAUAUUUUGAACCGCAUGGUUCAAAAGUGAAAGACGGUCUUGCUGUCACUUAUAGAUGGAUCCGCGCUGCAUUAGCUAGUUGGUAAGGUAACGGCUUACCAAGGCAACGAUGCAUAGCCGACCUGAGAGGGUGAUCGGCCACACUGGAACUGAGACACGGUACAGACUCCUACGGGAGGCAGCAGUAGGGAAUCUUCCGCAAAGGGCGAAAGCCUGACGGAGCAACGCCGCGUGAGUGAUGAAGGUCUUCGGAUCGUAAAACUCUGUUAUUAGGGAAGAACAUAUGUGUAAGUAACUGUGCACAUCUUGACGGUACCUAAUCAGAAAGCCACGGCUAACUACGUG